AUUGAACGCUGGCGGCAGGCCUAACACAUGCACGUCGAACGAGUGGCGGACGGGUGAGUAAUGUCUGGGAAACUGCCCGAUGGAGGGGGAUAACUACUGGAAACGGUAGCUAAUACCGCAUACCAUCAGAUGUUCCCAGAUGGGAUGAGCUAGUAGGUGGGGUAAUGGCUCACCUAGGCGACGCUCCCUAGCUGGUCUGAGAGGAUGACCAGCCACACUGGAACUGAGACACGGUCCAGACUCCUACGGGAGGCAGCAGUGGGGAAUAUUGGACAAUGGGCGAAAGCCUGAUGCAGCCAUGCCGCGUGUAUGAAGAAGGCCUUCGGGUUGUAAAGUACUUUAAGCGAGGAGGCGUUACUAGCAGAAUAAGCACCGGCUAACUCCGUGCCAGCAGCCGCGGUAAUAC
rnacentral:rRNA from 1 species